UGGGGAAUAUUGGACAAUGGGCGCAAGCCUGAUCCAGCCACGCCGCGUGAGUGAUGAAGGCCUUCGGGUCGUAAAGCUCUGUGGGGAGGGACUAACCGCUGCACGUUCAUAGCGUGCAGCAUGACGGUACCUCCUUAGCAAGCACCGGCUAACUUCGUGCCAGCAGCCGCGGUAAUACGAAGGGUGCAAACGUUGCUCGGAAUUAUUGUGCGUAAAGCGCACGUAGGCGGCUUGACAAGUCGGAUGUCAAAUCCCUCGGCUCAACCAAGGAAGUGCAUCAGAAACUGUCGAGAUUGAGUACGAAAGAGGAUCACGGAAUUCCCGGUGUAGAGGUGAAAUUCGUAGAUAUAGGGAGGAACACCAGUGGGGAAGGCGGCGAGCUGGGUAGAUACUGACGCUGAGGUGAGAGAGCGUGGGGAGCAAAAA
rnacentral:rRNA from 1 species